CACGGUUUAGUCCUAAAGGGAUUUAUUUGUCUCACAUUCUGUCAUAAAAUCUAAUAUUUUGUUUUCGCUUUUCUUCAUUUCAGCGCUCGUGGUGAGAUUCCUAACAAGACGCUUCAUCGGAGACUACGAGAGAAAUGCUGGUAAUCUCUACUCUAGAGAAGUCCAAGUGGACGGAGAGCAAGUGACCAUCCAGGUUCAGGACACCCCGGUGCUGAGGUGAGGACCCCCCCCCCCCCCC